UACGUAGGGUGCGAGCGUUGUCCGGAAUUAUUGGGCGUAAAGAGCUUGUAGGCGGUUUGUCGCGUCUGCUGUGAAAAUCCGGGGCUCAACCCCGGACUUGCAGUGGGUACGGGCAGACUAGAGUAUGGCAGGGGAGACUGGAAUUCCUGGUGUAGCGGUGAAAUGCGCAGAUAUCAGGAGGAACACCGGUGGCGAAGGCGGGUCUCUGGGCCGAAACUGACGCUGAGGAGCGAAAGCGUGGGGAGCAAACAGG
rnacentral:rRNA from 1 species